rnacentral:rRNA from 1 species
UACGGAGGGGGCUAGCGUUGUUCGGAAUUACUGGGCGUAAAGGGCGCGUAGGCGCCUUCUAAGUCGAACGUGAAAUCCCCGGGCUCAACCCGGGAACUGCGUCCGAUACUGGAAGGCUUGAAUCCGGGAGAGGGAUGCGGAAUUCCUGGUGUAGCGGUGAAAUGCGCAGAUAUCAGGAGGAACACCGAUGGCGAAGGCAGGUCUCUGGGCAUUAACUGACGCUGAGGAGCGAAAGCAUGGGGAGCGAACAGGA